UUAAAAAUAAGCUAAACAAAGCUUUUGGGUUCAUACCCCAAAUAUAAAGAAAUAUCUUUUUUUUAAA
rnacentral:tRNA from 1 species